GUGGAAUCUGGCAUUUUGUUUUCUGAGAAGUAGUUGUUGAGGUCCAGGGUGAUUUGUGCAACUACUAUCGGGUCGGUGAGUAAGUUAUCGUUCAACCUCCGGCUGCCUCUACCCCUGGAUGUAAAUUGUUCUUUCAGGGAUAUGGUGAUGGGUGCGUGAUCGGACCACGAGAUAAGCCCUAUGCGUGAGUUGUCUACUCUGGGAAACAGUGUUGAAGAAAUUAAAAACCUGUCGAUCCUAGAAUAGCAGUUAUGUG